rnacentral:rRNA from 1 species
AUGGGGCUGGCGGUGGGGAUCACCGCGGGCGUCGCUCUCAUCGUGGCCUUCGCCCGCCGCAGAACUCGCGCUGCAAGCACAGCCGCAGCUGGGAGGUUCAAGCCAGCUGAGAUUUCAGCCACGUUUUGGUGGAUUUCUUGCAGCAACUUCAGAGAAUCUUGUGUCUAUACUGGAUGUGGAAACACAGGCUUUUGUGAGGAUAUUUGA